rnacentral:rRNA from 1 species
CCUACGGGGGGCAGCAGUGGGGAAUAUUGCACAAUGGGCGCAAGCCUGAUGCAGCCAUGCCGCGUGUGUGAAGAAGGCCUUCGGGUUGUAAAGCACUUUCAGCGGGGAGGAAGGCGUUAGGGUUAAUAACCUUGGCGAUUGACGUUACCCGCAGAAGAAGCACCGGCUAACUCCGUGCCAGCAGCCGCGGUAAUACGGAGGGUGCAAGCGUUAAUCGGAAUUACUGGGCGUAAAGCGCACGCAGGCGGUCUGUCAAGUCGGAUGUGAAAUCCCCGGGCUCAACCUGGGAACUGCAUUCGAAACUGGCAGGUUAGAGUCUUGUAGAGGGGGGUAGAAUUCCAGGUGUAGCGGUGAAAUGCGUAGAGAUCUGGAGGAAUACCGGUGGCGAAGGCGGCCCCCUGGACAAAGACUGACGCUCAGGUGCGAAAGCGUGGGGAGCAAACAGGAUUAAUACCCUUGUAGUC